rnacentral:rRNA from 1 species
GGAAGGAUCAUUAUUGAAAUAAAUCUGAUGGGUUGCUGCUGGCUCUCUAGGGAGUAUGUGCACACUUGUCAUCUUUAUGUCUCCACCUGUGCACUUUUUGUAGACUUGGAUAAUCUCUCUGAAUGCUUGCCAUUCAGGUUUGAGGAUUGACUUUCUGUCUCUCCUUACAUUUCCAGGCCUAUGUUUUUUCAUAUACCCCAAUGUAUGUUAUUGAAUGUAAUAAAAUGGGCCUUUGUGCCUAUAAACAUAUACAACUUUCAGCAACGGAUCUCUUGGCUCUCGCAUCGAUGAAGAACGCAGCGAAAUGCGAUAAGUAAUGUGAAUUGCAGAAUUCAGUGAAUCAUCGAAUCUUUGAACGCACCUUGCGCUCCUUGGUAUUCCGAGGAGCAUGCCUGUUUGAGUGUCAUUAAUAUAUCAACCUCUUCGGCUUUUGCUUGUUGAGUGUUGGAUGUGGGGGUUUUUUCUUUUGCUGGUCUCUUUCAUGAGGUCAGCUCCCCUGAAAUGCAUUAGCGGAACAAUUUGUUGACCGUUCAUUGGUGUGAUAACUAUCUACGCUACUGACGUGAAGCAGUUCAGCUUCUAACAACAGUCCAUUGACUUGGACAAAAUUUUUCAUUAAUGUGACCUCAAAUCAGGUAGGACUACCCGCUGAACUUAAGCAUAUCAAUAAGCGGAGGAAAAGAAACUAACAAGGAUUCCCCUAGUAACUGCGAGUGAAGCGGGAAAAGCUCAAAUUUAAAAUCUGUCAGUCUUUGACUGUCCGAGUUGUAAUCUAGAGAAGUGUUAUCCGCGCUGGACCGUGUACAAGUCUCCUGGAAUGGAGCGUCAUAGAGGGUGAGAAUCCCGUCUUUGACACGGACUGCCAGGGCUUUGUGAUGCGCUCUCAAAGAGUCGAGUUGUUUGGGAAUGCAGCUCAAAAUGGGUGGUAAAUUCCAUCUAAAGCUAAAUAUUGGCGAGAGACCGAUAGCGAACAAGUACC